GACGAACGCUGGCGGCGUGCUUAACACAUGCAAGUCGAACGGAAAGGCCUGCUUUCCCUUGUGGAUUGCGGGUACUCGAGUGGCGAACGGGUGAGUAACACGUGAGUGAUCUGCCCCCAACUUGGGUAUAAGCCUGGGAGACUGGGUCUAAUUCCCGAUAGGACUGCAGGGUGGUGCCUGUGGUGGAAAACGAUUUUCUAGUGGUUGGGGAUGAGCUCGCGGCCUAUCAGCUUGUUGGUGGGGUAAUGGCCUACCAAGGCGGCGACGGGUAGCCGGCCUGGGGGGGUGGACGGCCACAUUGGGACUGAGAUACGGCCCAGACUCCUACGGGAGGCAGCAGUGGGGAAUAUUGCACAAUGGGCGGAAGCCUGAUGCAGCGACGCCGCGUGGGGGAUGACGGCCUUCGGGUUGUAAACUCCUUUCGACCGCGAGGAAGCCACCUGGUUGGAAGGGUGGCGACGGUAGUGGUAGAAGAAGCACCGGCUAACUACGUG
rnacentral:rRNA from 1 species